UGGUGUCUCCUGUUCUCAUUGUAAUGGUAUGAUCCUGCAGAGAACGACUGAUGGAGUGAGCUUUGUGCCUACCCUGGCUGUACUGCUGCAGAGGGGCACAAUGAUAUUCAUGGGAAACAGUCCGUGUCCAGAACUUGGCCAGAAAGAUCUAUUCAGGCCCCGAAAUGUCGGUGUAUUCCCACAGGAAGCAGAGGAGCCUCCAGAGCAACAGGGAAAUUGCUAAUCAUACUUCGUCUAAGUGAAGUCUGGCUGUAAAUUACGACUAAGCACCAUGAUGGGAGCCAUGUGUAUGAAAUACAAAAGAAAUGUGUUUCCCAUGAAGACAACAGAGUUAGCGUGUGGAAAAUGAAAGAGUUCUGGUGUUCAAGGAUUUGUGUCAGGAAUAGAGCACAGGGUACCUGCGUCUGGGGGCCUCAGAUUGCUGAAGGAGUAGGGGCAGGCAGCAGAUGGUCAUCCUACUAAAGAAUAAGAUUUCUCUUAUGGAUCUUUGGACUCCAUUUAGGAAUUACUCCCAUCUAUUAAGGAGAAGGUGACACCUACAAAUGCUGGUUUGUUUACACUGUGGGACUGUAUUCAUGAUUACACCAAUGGGAAUAUGCAAAUAAUCUUCUGAAGUCAUGACUAAAAAGAAGUUACUUUAAUGGUAGAGCACCAUAAAUGAGAGAAGGACAAUUUGCCAGUAGAACAGCCAGAAAAAGCCGCAGCAAAAGCAGUAAGAAAUCAUGAGAAACGGUAUCUUCGGUCAAGAUGUGAAAGGAGAUGGUCUACUGAUGAAGAAAAAAUACAGAAAUGUUGUCUUACAUCCUGAGGGCUGCAGCAGUAACACAUUGCAGGAGUCUGUCAGCAUGCAGCUACUACCAUCUAGCUAAAUCCUUUCAACUAGGAACAUCGUCUUCAAAAUAUUUCCUCCUUUCCCAACACAGUCAAGUGUGAAAGAGCAGACAGAGAGCCAUGUUAUUAAAAAUCACAGGAAGUCCUGAUUGAAUGAAUGUUUAAGGAACAGGCAAGUGUGUAUUAAAAUGUUUUUUUUUUCCAUUCAUCCUUUCAUUUGGCUUUGUUUCAUUUAUUUCUACUUCCUGUUUCCUGUAGUCUAAUUUGGAAAUCUCUGAAGCAUCAUUAAAAUACAAUUGUCACAGCUCUGCUCAGGUCCCAUAUUGUCAUUAGCUCUGCAAUUAAGAUUAAUAUUAAUUUUUAAAAAUACCUUUGAAGAUACUGGUUUUAUUUGGGUUGUUUGGUAUGUGGAUGAGAGAACUUUUGCAGUAUGGAACACAGAAUGAGUAGGAACCUUAUAGGCAAAAAUGACAGUAGACUGUGACACAAAUCAGUCAGCCUCUGACUUUCUCUGCUGUCACAGCUGGACAGAGGUCUGUGAGUCUCUAAAUUGGGUUCCUACAUGUCUUCAUGCAAU